CAAACUGACGAUCGGUGGUAUGCGGAGAUCGACGAAUCGAUCAGUCGACUUCUUAAUCACAAAAUCGUUACUUUUCUUCCGGUGUCGGAGGUCUACGUUCGUCAAAUGGUCUGCUGGAGACACUUGCAAAGUUCGUCAAAGGAAUUCCACUGUCGCGUUUUGGGUCUUUUUUGGUUCUUGCUUCACCGAUUUCCGUCUGCUGCCGCCAUUGAUUACUGAUUUGGGAGCGUGAAAUGGAGAUUGGGUACCCAACAGAUGUUAAACAUGCUGCUCAUAUUGGCUGGGAUGGAUCAUCAAGCAGUGCUCCUUCUUGGAUGAAUGAGUUCAAGACAACCCCUAAUUUUGCAGCAACUGCCAUUGGAAAUUCUGCUUCUGGUCUGUCUGCCUGGUCUUCUCAAG